GACAUUUCAAAAAAGAAAACAAGACGAAAUCAUCAUAUAAAGCAUAAAUCACCAGUUUUCACCACGAAGCUUUCUAAGAAUCCUACCUUGAGGUGAAUCUGGAUCACCUCUCAUAGCAUUCAUUUUCCAUAUCUCCAUAGCUCUCAAAAGAGCUUCUUCAGCCGUAUCCAAUUGUUCCGGCCUCCACACCAUCAUCCCGCCCCAAGGGGCGGGAUACAGAGGAAUGCCAUCAUCCGGAGGCGCAUCAGUCGCUUUCGUGAUUGGCUUUCUCGUAUCAGCCAUCUCCAUUUCCGCUAAUGGAGAUGGCUUAUGAUGACUAAAAUACUCUCUGUCAUCUUCAAAUUGAUCUCCCCUGCUUUUCGAUUCGUCAGGCCACGGGGAACCAUCCAAUCCAGCACAGCUAGCAUUUUCUAAUGAAGUUUUU
rnacentral:misc_RNA from 1 species